rnacentral:rRNA from 1 species
GACGAACCGUGCGAACGUUGUCCGGAUUUACUGGGCGUAAAGAGCGCGCAGGCGGUCGUUCAAGUCGCGUGUGAAAGCCCCCGGCUCAACUGGGGAGGGUCACGCGAUACUGAUCGACUCGAAGGCAGGAGAGGGUAGUGGAAUUCCCGGUGUAGUGGUGAAAUGCGCAGAUAUCAGGAGGAACACCGAUGGCGAAGGCAGGUCUCUGGGCAUUAACUGACGCUGAGGAGCGAAAGCAUGGGGAGCGAACAGG